rnacentral:rRNA from 1 species
CGGCAAGACGAUGUAUAUGGACUGACGCCUGCCCGGUGCUGGAACGUUAAGGGACGGGUUAGCGCGCAAGCGCGAAGCUCUGAACUUAAGCGCCAGUAAACGGCGGUGGUAACUAUAACCAUCCUAAGGUAGCGAAAUUCCUUGUCGGGUAAGUUCCGACCUGCACGAAUGGCGUAACGACUUCAGCGCUGUCUCAACCGUGGACUCGGCGAAAUUGCACUACGAGUAAAGAUGCUCGUUACGCGCGGCAGGACGGAAAGACCCCGGGACCUUUACUACAAUUUGGUAUUGGUGGUCGAUUCGAUUUGUGUAGGAUAGGUGGGAGACUGUGAAGCAGUAACGCCAGUUAUUGUGGAGUCAUUGUUGAAAUACCACUCUGAUCGUAUUGGCUGUCUAACCUCGGUCCGUGAUCCGGAUCAGGGACAGUGCCUGAUGGGUAGUUUAACUGGGGCGGUUGCCUCCUAAAGAGUAACGGAGGCGCUCAAAGGUUCCCUCAGCCUGGUUGGCAAUCAGGUGUCGAGUGCAAGUACACAAGGGAG